rnacentral:rRNA from 1 species
CCUACGGGGGGCAGCAGUGGGGAAUAUUGGGCAAUGGGCGCAAGCCUGACCCAGCAACGCCGCGUGAAGGAAGAAGGCUUUCGGGUUGUAAACUUCUUUUAAGAGGGAAGAGCAGAAGACGGUACCUCUUGAAUAAGCCACGGCUAAGUACGUGCCAGCAGCCGCGGUGAUACGUAGGUGGCAAGCGUGGUCCGGAUGUACUGGUUGUAAGGGGCGUGUAGCCGGUAAGACAAGUCAGAUGUGAAGUCCCGCGGUUCACCCGGGGAACUGCAUUUGAAACUGUUUUUCUUGAGUACCGGAGAGGUCAUCGGAAUUCCUGGUGUAGCGGUGAAAUGCGUAGAUAUAAGGAAGAACACCAGUGGCGAAGGCAGAUGACUGGACGACAACUGACGGUGAGGCGCGAAAGCGUGGGGAGCAAACAGGAUUAGAUACCCGUGUAGUC